rnacentral:rRNA from 1 species
UACGGAGGGUGCAAGCGUUAUCCGGAAUCACUGGGUUUAAAGGGUGCGUAGGCGGCUAUGUAAGUCAGAGGUGAAAUGUUGUCGCUUAACGAUAAAAUUGCCUUUGAAACUGCUAGGCUUGAAUUGGGUUGAGGUAGGCGGAAUGUGACAUGUAGCGGUGAAAUGCAUAGAUAUGUCAUGGAACACCGAUUGCGAAGGCAGCUUACUAGACCUUGAUUGACGCUGAGGCACGAAAGCGUGGGGAGCGAACAGG